rfam:Triticum aestivum genome assembly, contig: Triticum_aestivum_CS42_TGACv1_scaffold_343111_4DL
CUAGUACUCCCUCCUUCCGAAAAUACUUGUCAUCAAAAUAGAUAAAAAAGAUUGUAUAUAGAAUUAAAAUACGUCUAGAUACAUCUUCAUUUAUUCAUUUUAAUGACAAGUAUUUCCGGACGAAGAGAGUAUUAA